GAUGAACGCUGGCGGCGUGCCUAACACAUGCAAGUCGAGCGAACAGAUGAGGAGCUUGCUCCUCUGACGUUAGCGGCGGACGGGUGAGUAACACGUGGAUAACCUACCUAUAAGACUGGGAUAACUUCGGGAAACCGGAUCUAAUACAGGAUAAUAUAUUGAACCGCAGGGUUCAUUAGUGAAAGACGGUUUUGCUGUCACUAAUAGAUGGUUCCGCGCCGCAUUAGCUAGUUGGUAAGGUAACGGCUUACCAAGGCAACGAUGCGUAGCCGACCUGAGAGGAUGAUCGGCCACACUGGAACUGAGACACGGUCCAGACUCCUACGGGAGGCAGCAGUAGGGAAUCUUCCGCAAUGGGCGAAAGCCUGACGGAGCAACGCCGCGUGAGUGAUGAAGGUCUUCGGAUCGUAAAGCUCUGUUAUUAGGGAAGAACAAAUGUGUAAGUAACUAUGCACGUCUUGACGGUACCUAAUCAGAAAGCCACGGCUAACUACGUG
rnacentral:rRNA from 1 species